rnacentral:rRNA from 1 species
UGUUAUACUUAGAAGUGAACAACCUUAAGCACCAGAGAACUACGAACCUAAAGUUUAAAACUCAAAGGACUUGGCGGUUUUCCAAACCUCCCUGGAGGAGCCUGCCAUUGAAUCGAUAACCCACGAAAUACCUCACCAACUUUUGUAAUAACAGCUUGUAUACCAUCGUCGCAAGUCUACUUCUUGAGAAAGUUGACUUAAAGGGAGAACCCUAGACGUCAGAUCAAGGUGCAGCCUAUAAGUUGGGAAUAGGUGAGCUACAAUGUUUGAACAAACCAGUGAAAGAAGGGAUGAAAUACCCCUCGGAAAUUGGAUUCAGCAGUAAGCCCCAUUAAGAGAAUGGGGCUGAAAAGAGCUCUGGAAUGCGUACACAUCGCCCGUCACUCUCGCCUAGUUAAGAUUACGCAAGGGGAGAAAAGUCGUAACACAAUAGGCACACCGGAAGGUGUGCCUGGAAAU